GAUGAACGCUGGCGGCGUGCCUAAUACAUGCAAGUCGAGCGAACAGACCAGGAGCUUGCUCCUCUUACGUUAGCGGCGGGCGGGUGAGUAACACGUGGAUCACCUACCUAUAAGACUGGGAUAACUUCGGGAAACCGGAGCUAAUACCGGAUAAUAUCUUGAACCGCAUGGUUCAAUAGUGAAAGACGGUUUUGCUGUCACUUAUAGAUGGAUCCGCGCGGCAUUAGCUAGUUGGUAAGGUAACGGCUUACCAAGGCAACGAUGCGUAGCCGACCUGAGAGGGUGAUCGGCCACCCUGGAACUGAGACACGGUCCAGACUCCUACGGGAGGCAGCAGUAGGGAAUCUUCCGCAAUGGGCGAAAGCCUGACGGAGCAACGCCGCGUGAGUGAUGAAGGUCUUCGGAUCGUAAAACUCUGUUAUUAGGGAAGAACAAAUGUGUAAGUAAAUAUGCACGUCUUGACGGUACCUAAUCAGAAAGCCACGGCUAACUACGUG
rnacentral:rRNA from 1 species